GGGUUGUGAGGUUAAGCGACUAAGCGUACACGGUGGAUGCCCUGGCAGUCAGAGGCGAUGAAGGACGUGCUAAUCUGCGAUAAGCGUCGGUAAGGUGAUAUGAACCGUUAUAACCGGCGAUUUCCGAAUGGGGAAACCCAGUGUGUUUCGACACACUAUCAUUAACUGAAUCCAUAGGUUAAUGAGGCGAACCGGGGGAACUGAAACAUCUAAGUACCCCGAGGAAAAGAAAUCAACCGAGAUUCCCCCAGUAGCGGCGAGCGAACGGGGAGCAGCCCAGAGCCUGAAUCAGUGUGUGUGUUAGUGGAAGCGUCUGGAAAGGCGCGCGAUACAGGGUGACAGCCCCGUACACAAAAAUGCACAUGCUGUGAGCUCGAUGAGUAGGGCGGGACACGUGGUAUCCUGUCUGAAUAUGGGGGGACCAUCCUCCAAGGCUAAAUACUCCUGACUGACCGAUAGUGAACCAGUACCGUGAGGGAAAGGCGAAAAGAACCCCGGCGAGGGGAGUGAAAAAGAACCUGAAACCGUGUACGUACAAGCAGUGGGAGCACGCUUAGGCGUGUGACUGCGUACCUUUUGUAUAAUGGGUCAGCGACUUAUAUUCUGUAGCAAGGUUAACCGAAUAGGGGAGCCGAAGGGAAACCGAGUCUUAACUGGGCGUUAAGUUGCAGGGUAUAGACCCGAAACCCGGUGAUCUAGCCAUGGGCAGGUUGAAGGUUGGGUAACACUAACUGGAGGACCGAACCGACUAAUGUUGAAAAAUUAGCGGAUGACUUGUGGCUGGGGGUGAAAGGCCAAUCAAACCGGGAGAUAGCUGGUUCUCCCCGAAAGCUAUUUAGGUAGCGCCUCGUGAAUUCAUCUCCGGGGGUAGAGCACUGUUUCGGCAAGGGGGUCAUCCCGACUUACCAACCCGAUGCAAACUGCGAAUACCGGAGAAUGUUAUCACGGGAGACACACGGCGGGUGCUAACGUCCGUCGUGAAGAGGGAAACAACCCAGACCGCCAGCUAAGGUCCCAAAGUCAUGGUUAAGUGGGAAACGAUGUGGGAAGGCCCAGACAGCCAGGAUGUUGGCUUAGAAGCAGCCAUCAUUUAAAGAAAGCGUAAUAGCUCACUGGUCGAGUCGGCCUGCGCGGAAGAUGUAACGGGGCUAAACCAUGCACCGAAGCUGCGGCAGCGACGCUGAUGCGUUGUUGGGUAGGGGAGCGUUCUGUAAGCCUGCGAAGGUGUGCUGUGAGGCAUGCUGGAGGUAUCAGAAGUGCGAAUGCUGACAUAAGUAACGAUAAAGCGGGUGAAAAGCCCGCUCGCCGGAAGACCAAGGGUUCCUGUCCAACGUUAAUCGGGGCAGGGUGAGUCGACCCCUAAGGCGAGGCCGAAAGGCGUAGUCGAUGGGAAACAGGUUAAUAUUCCUGUACUUGGUGUUACUGCGAAGGGGGGACGGAGAAGGCUAUGUUGGCCGGGCGACGGUUGUCCCGGUUUAAGCGUGUAGGCUGGUUUUCCAGGCAAAUCCGGAAAAUCAAGGCUGAGGCGUGAUGACGAGGCACUACGGUGCUGAAGCAACAAAUGCCCUGCUUCCAGGAAAAGCCUCUAAGCAUCAGGUAACAUCAAAUCGUACCCCAAACCGACACAGGUGGUCAGGUAGAGAAUACCAAGGCGCUUGAGAGAACUCGGGUGAAGGAACUAGGCAAAAUGGUGCCGUAACUUCGGGAGAAGGCACGCUGAUAUGUAGGUGAAGUCCCUUGCGGAUGGAGCUGAAAUCAGUCGAAGAUACCAGCUGGCUGCAACUGUUUAUUAAAAACACAGCACUGUGCAAACACGAAAGUGGACGUAUACGGUGUGACGCCUGCCCGGUGCCGGAAGGUUAAUUGAUGGGGUUAGCCGCAAGGCGAAGCUCUUGAUCGAAGCCCCGGUAAACGGCGGCCGUAACUAUAACGGUCCUAAGGUAGCGAAAUUCCUUGUCGGGUAAGUUCCGACCUGCACGAAUGGCGUAAUGAUGGCCAGGCUGUCUCCACCCGAGACUCAGUGAAAUUGAACUCGCUGUGAAGAUGCAGUGUACCCGCGGCAAGACGGAAAGACCCCGUGAACCUUUACUAUAGCUUGACACUGAACAUUGAGCCUUGAUGUGUAGGAUAGGUGGGAGGCUUUGAAGUGUGGACGCCAGUCUGCAUGGAGCCGACCUUGAAAUACCACCCUUUAAUGUUUGAUGUUCUAACGUUGACCCGUAAUCCGGGUUGCGGACAGUGUCUGGUGGGUAGUUUGACUGGGGCGGUCUCCUCCUAAAGAGUAACGGAGGAGCACGAAGGUUGGCUAAUCCUGGUCGGACAUCAGGAGGUUAGUGCAAUGGCAUAAGCCAGCUUGACUGCGAGCGUGACGGCGCGAGCAGGUGCGAAAGCAGGUCAUAGUGAUCCGGUGGUUCUGAAUGGAAGGGCCAUCGCUCAACGGAUAAAAGGUACUCCGGGGAUAACAGGCUGAUACCGCCCAAGAGUUCAUAUCGACGGCGGUGUUUGGCACCUCGAUGUCGGCUCAUCACAUCCUGGGGCUGAAGUAGGUCCCAAGGGUAUGGCUGUUCGCCAUUUAAAGUGGUACGCGAGCUGGGUUUAGAACGUCGUGAGACAGUUCGGUCCCUAUCUGCCGUGGGCGCUGGAGAACUGAGGGGGGCUGCUCCUAGUACGAGAGGACCGGAGUGGACGCAUCACUGGUGUUCGGGUUGUCAUGCCAAUGGCACUGCCCGGUAGCUAAAUGCGGAAGAGAUAAGUGCUGAAAGCAUCUAAGCACGAAACUUGCCCCGAGAUGAGUUCUCCCUGACCCUUUAAGGGUCCUGAAGGAACGUUGAAGACGACGACGUUGAUAGGCCGGGUGUGUAAGCGCAGCGAUGCGUUGAGCUAACCGGUACUAAUGAACCGUGAGGCUUAACCUUACAACGCCGAAG
rnacentral:rRNA from 1 species